UAAAUUAUAGUAUUCAUUUCUCUUUUGCGUCAUCAGGAUCUUAAUUUCUGCGAUCUCAAAUGAAUUUCCUAACUGAGUCAAAUAGUAGCUGGUUGCGAUCCUCUUUCAGUAGCUAUCACGUCUUUGUUGGAUUUCCCUAUACACUUAACGCGAUGGGAAAUGCGUUGCCUGGAACUGCCAGACCCGGGCCUUCAAAUCUCCCCCUCGGUUAGUCUCCUCCCCUUUCCUUUCUCUCUCUCUUUCUCUCCAUUCCAUGCGUAUCAUCUUUCCUCUCUGUGUUCCCCCCCCAUUCGCUUUUUUCUAACAUUCGGUUCAUCUUAACCAGACAGACAUUCUCCAUUUUCUCUGUUUCGAAUGCUUUUAAUUUUAAUACGCAGUUUCAACCAUUACAACGUGUUCGACACCCGACAUUUUUUUUGUUGAAUUCGAGGCCUGGAAGGUGCCAUAGUAAUAAACAUGUUCGUGACAGGCAAGUCCGACAUUCUCGACUUUAACUGUUAUAUGGCUUUAAACAUGUUAUUAAACGAUAAAUAUAUUUUUUUUUUGUUUCUCGGCCAAAGUCUAAAAAUCAGAGUCGAAGAAUUUCCAGGAUGUUUUUCAUUGACUAAAUGAAACAUUUUAACGAUAACCUCCUUUAAUCGACCUCAUCAAUUGCCCGGACGUUGCCUAGUAAAAACGAACGUUGGACUGCAUCACCCGAUGCUAUUACGUGUACAUAAAAACUUCCCAAGAAAGCAUCGGGGUCGUCACCCAAUACACACUGAUCGAUCCAUCAAGGUGUAGUCGAGCUCUUUUUUUUUUUUUUUAUAAUUUAAGACAGAGAAAUGACUCGGUAGAAUAGAGUGAGUGAAAGUUUCUUUUUUUUACCUUACGGUGGUAAGUGUUUGCCGACGGGAAAAAGAAAAUAAGAUUCCAACUUGAAAAUGUGUUUCUUUGACUGUGCCCAGACUUUAGACGACUGGAAUCACUUUAGAUAUGUAAAAUGAUGGGCGUAGUUUUAUUUUUUUGCCCCAGAGAAGUGUUAUCUUAUCUUCUUUUUUCUGUUCGUGUCUUAAAUAUCUAUCUUCCAGUUCCUUGUGUUUCUCUGCCAAUCAGCGUAGCGUUUACCUCCCCCCCCCCCACAUGGAAAUGGAGGUUAUCCGAGAACGGACAGAAUGGAGGGGGAAACAUUUGAAAAAUACAUCUGUAUUUUACCCCUCAAGGGUGUCAUUCACCCUCUCAGCUGUUUCGGCAAAAUACGUUCUGAAAAAAAAAGAGGGGAGAUGGGUGUCUACGUGCUUAAGUAGGGGGUUGAAAACAAGGUCACGGCCUUGUCCGGCUAGCAACUGCAUCUCCCCUCUAUGUAAAAAUCACAAAGGAAAUGCAAUUUAACAUCCACUUGGACCAAUUGUUUCUGUUGCCGAGGUCAUUUAGCCACCAAUAUUUGUUUCUGCUUUUGGUCAAGAUAAUAUACCACUUACACAGCAUUUAUUCUUGUAGCAACGACUCAUGUCCCUAUCGGGACUAAUCAGGUGUUUCUUAAUUACUUUGAUCUCCUGAGCUUUACUUUUGUUCUUAUCCCCUCACUAUGACGUACAGCUUGUUACAUCGUACAUUUAAAAAUUAUACCGUUGAGACACUAAUGCUGAUAUGCCACGUACAAUGUCAAACUGAAAGCCAACAAUGAAAAUCUUUAAAUGAUGAUACGUCUUAUCUCUUAUCUUCGUUUUAUGUUUGUUGUCUAACUAAAACCCAGAAGUUGGAAAUGUUAUACAAUACAAACUCACUGUAUUUUGCCGCCCACGAAUCGAGACACGCAGUUUUCGUAUAAAAAAUAAUCAAAGGAAAGAAAACACACACCAGAAAAAAAGGGAGUCUUAAAAAAUCACACGCAGAGAAUAUUUUUUCUCCGUGAACUAAUAGU